rnacentral:rRNA from 1 species
AGAGUUUGAUCCUGGCUCAGGAUGAACGCUAGCGACAGGCUUAACACAUGCAAGUCGAGGGGCAGCGGAGGCGGUAGCAAUACUGCCUGCCGGCGACCGGCGCACGGGUGAGUAACACGUAUGCAACCUACCCUUGUCAGGGGGAUAAGCCGGAGAAAUCCGGUCUAAUACCGCGUGACAUCGGGUUCUCGCAUGAGGAUUCGAUCAAAGGAAUUAUCCGGACAAGGAUGGGGCAUGCGGCGCAUUAGCUAGUUGGCGGGGUAACGGCCCACCAAGGCGACGAUGCGUAGGGGUUCUGAGAGGAAGGUCCCCCACACUGGUACUGAGACACGGACCAGACUCCUACGGGAGGCAGCAGUGAGGAAUAUUGGUCAAUGGGCGAGAGCCUGAACCAGCCAAGUCGCGUGAGGGAAUAAGGUCCUAUGGAUUGUAAACCUCUUUUGUCGGGGAGCAAUGAGCGUCACGUGUGAUGCGUUGAGAGUACCCGAAGAAAAAGCAUCGGCUAACUCCGUGCCAGCAGCCGCGGUAAUACGGAGGAUGCGAGCGUUAUCCGGAUUUAUUGGGUUUAAAGGGUGCGUAGGCGGGGAGCCAAGUCAGCGGUAAAAUCGUGGGGCUCAACCCCAUCCCGCCGUUGAAACUGGUUUUCUUGAGUGGAUGAGAAGUAUGCGGAAUGCGUGGUGUAGCGGUGAAAUGCAUAGAUAUCACGCAGAACUCCGAUUGCGAAGGCAGCAUACCGGCAUCCAACUGACGCUGAAGCACGAAGGCGUGGGUAUCAAACAGGAUUAGAUACCCUGGUAGUCCACGCAGUAAACGAUGAAUGCUAAUUGUCCGGGGCGAGUGAGCCCUGGGUGAUACAGCGAAAGCGUUAAGCAUUCCACCUGGGGAGUACGCCGGCAACGGUGAAACUCAAAGGAAUUGACGGGGGCCCGCACAAGCGGAGGAACAUGUGGUUUAAUUCGAUGAUACGCGAGGAACCUUACCCGGGCUCAAACGCCGAAGGGACAUUCCCCGAAAGGGGAUUGGCCAGCAAUGGUCUUCGGCGAGGUGCUGCAUGGUUGUCGUCAGCUCGUGCCGUGAGGUGUCGGCUUAAGUGCCAUAACGAGCGCAACCCCCACCGACAGUUGCUAACUGGUCAAGCAGAGGACUCUGUCGGGACUGCCGGCGCAAGCUGCGAGGAAGGCGGGGAUGACGUCAAAUCAGCACGGCCCUUACGUCCGGGGCGACACACGUGUUACAAUGGCAGGUACAGCGGGAUGCCAUGGGGCGACCCAGAGCGGAACCCGAAAACCUGUCUCAGUUCGGAUUGGAGUCUGCAACCCGACUCCAUGAAGCUGGAUUCGCUAGUAAUCGCGCAUCAGCCACGGCGCGGUGAAAAGGUUCCCGGGCCUUGUACA